rnacentral:tRNA from 1 species
ACCUGAGUGGCUCAGUUGGUUGAGCGUCUGACUUCGGCUCAGGUCAUGAUUUUGCAGUUUGUGAGUUCGAGCCCCACGUCAGGUU